CAAAGUCAAAAUGUGGCGUCUGUCUAGCGGUAUUAAAGUUGACGUAUGGUAUGGUUUAAUUGUAUUGAAAUUUGAAAUCAUUUUCUGAAAAUUAAUUGAAAUCAUUUUCUGAUAAUUUAUAUACUAAAUGUCUGGAUAUGGUGUGUAGUGUAGUGAUUGUAAUGUGGUUAUACAAGGCCUGAGACUAGGUUUGUGAUAUAAUUAGAAUUGACAAUGUCGAAUGAAAUGGCGGUUGGUGAUAAGGUGUCAAAGGAUGCUACUGUUUGUAGUGAUGAGGUUGUAGAAGAGGCUACACAUACUGAACAGGUUUCACAACCCUCCUCAGAUGCUUUGAUGGAGGGAUCUAAUUAAGAAGCCAAGCCUGGUUUUGAAUUAUGGCAUAAAGAAACAACUUUAACCCAAAAUCUGUCUUCACUAAAAGAGGAUUUGGCCAAGGCCGAUCAAGCUCUGUGGUCUAGAGAGAUGGCGUCGGUCCCAAUCGUUGCCGAGUUCUGGAGAGCUUAGUCGUCAGUUCGACUCCAUAAGCUUCGAGUCCAGCAGUUCCUGUUACUCAUCAUGCAGCUGCAGUUACUGCCGGCUGAGGGACUGUGCGCAUGGACACAAGGGACUAAGCUAAGUUUCAUGUAACAUAUUGUUUAGCCUGUUUAAAACUUUAUUUAGGUAAUAACUUUGAUUCUCGGUAAAGAUUGUUUGUUAAAAGUAAAUAUAGACAUUACUAACAUACAAACUUUUUUGUGUAUUUGUGAAGGUUAUAUGUGUAGUACAGUUUUAUUAAUUAAGUAUAUCGCGUGAAUAUUUUUCAGAACAGGGGGCAAACUGCUAAAUUCUCAUCUGACAUCCUCCAUCUCGACACCUGGCGUUCCACAAUACAGCGCUUUUUAAGGCACUACCACUCUGUGGAACCAGCUGCCAGUAGAUAUGUAUUUCCAAACCGAUACGACUUAGGGGCUUCAAGAAAAGAGCGUUCCAUUCCCAUUCAUACUAUAAGUGCAACAAUAAUUCGUGGCUUGAGAGUAAAGUUUUGCUUAUUCAAAAAAUAAAGAUGCCCUCUAUUGGAAAUCAGAUGAACUUUGAUCGAAUACCUUAGCUAUGGCUAAACGAAAGCAUUCGUUUAUUUCGGUAAGUUUGCAAGUUGCCACUAGAUGGCGCUAUGCUACGAUUGUUAAGGAUAUUUAAUCAUAUUAAAUAAGUUUGAUAUUUAGAAA